UUCCUUAAAGGUACUCUCUGGUGUAGAUAGCUAGGACCAUCAAGAAGUCAAGCAGAAAGCCAGUCUUAUUAGCACAAGGAAUCUGGAGAGAGUGUUUAGGAUUGCCAGAGCUGCUGGCAAGUUAGGGGAAGAAACAGUGAAAAGGAAUCUGAAGAGGAGGGAAAUUCUGAACUGCACACAAAUGGACAAGACUCUCAACAACUGAGAAGGCUGAAACAACUAAGCAGAGGUUUCAACUGCUGUUUACUUGCUACAGGGAAGACUAAGUCUGGAGUCCCACAGACUUAGAAGGACUUGUGAAAUCUACUGAAAAGAACCCACACCAAAUUUAUUCUGCAAAGGAAGCAGGGAACAAGCAAUGGGAAGUUGGUGUCAAAAUGCAGAAAAACCUCCCAGCAAGCUUCUUGCAACCACCCAGGAUUUAGAGUCUUGCUGGUCGCUCUCUUUUCAAUACCAGAAUUUCACACAUUUCAAUGACUAUUAUGACUUCAAAGAAUCAAAUUUUCAUCAUUGUCCGUCAUCUGCCGGUUGAUUUGUAUAAAGGAGUUCUUCUGCAUGCACUCCAAACAAAAGCCUCCUUACUUUUGUGGUUAUAUAUCAAGUUUAAAAGUUUUGUUUGUGACAGUUGUGUCUUUGGUAAAUUAGGGUAACACUGAAGGAGUGCAGCUGCUCUGCAGGAACCUCCUUUCUGGCACCAUUUCACUUAAAUAAAAACUGAAUAAUUAGCUUCUGCCUUUAUUAAACCACAAAAAUGCCACUGGCCUUAGUAAUUACUUCCAGUUGCCCCACCCACUUAACCUUAAUAGUUUACACUUGUCAUAAGGAGAAAUAAAUGAAAAAGGUUUUCACCACUUUGGUGAAUUUUUGACAGAUCUCCCAGCACAUCCAGAAGAGCCAAAAUUUUAACCAGGUUUCUGGGUAAUAAGGUCAAUAAAUUGCAUGUAUGGAUCGAUGUUGAAAAGUUUUAAUAGAGCACAUGCUGGAACAUUAAGUACAAAUACUGCUUAUAGAAACUUGUUCUACUGCAAGCUUUUAGUUACCAAUUAUGUAUUUAAAUUUAUUCUAGGGCUAAAACUGAUCUAAAUU